rnacentral:lncRNA from 1 species
AGCUUAUCCCAUGAUCCUCUUCGCCCAUAUCUCCCAAACAUCCGCAGCCUAUCCCGUUUGGAACAGAGUGUCAGCUUAUCCACGGGAUGAACCAGCUAUCUCUCAGCUAAUCCCGUCCGCAAAUCAAGCUCCGUCGUUCUGUUUUCCUCCCAGCAUCUGCAACGAUUCGGCUUCAUCCUCAAUCAUCUGCGAUCGAGCUUCAUCUCCCUGUUAUCAGCCGAGAUCCAAACAGCCCCUGCAUCCCAACAGAACAGAGGAUUAACUUCUCCGAAAAUCAAGCAUUUCAUCCCGCGUCCAAGGCUUUCGUCCGCAUCUCCUCCGCGUGGAAGCAGCGUCGGUUUC